rnacentral:rRNA from 1 species
UACGUAGGGGGCUAGCGUUGUCCGGAAUCAUUGGGCGUAAAGCGCGUGUAGGCGGUCCGGUAAGUCCGCUGUGAAAGUCGGGGGCUCAACCCUCGGAUGCCGGUGGAUACUGUCGGGCUUGAGUACGGAAGAGGCGAGUGGAAUUCCUGGUGUAGCGGUGAUAUGCGCAGAUAUCAGGAGGAAUACCGAUGGCGAAGGCAGCUCACUGGGACGGUACUGACGCUGAGACGCGAAAGCGUGGGGAGCAAACAGG